GGGGGGGGGUUGGGGGGAAGAGGAGUGGUUUUAGGCAGAGGGAGAAAUUAGGGGCCAAAAGGGAGACUGGAUGAAGCACUGAUAUAGUCUUUAUAAUGUGUAGGGUUCACAGACUUUGCGAUUUCAGGCUCCACUUGUCAAGGCUGUCUUGGUUUGGAGGUACAUUUCUAUAAAUCAAGGCUAGCGCAACAGGCCAGGCUGAGGAAAACACUCCAAGAAACCCAGAGUGGAGUCUGAGUUUAAGGCCAAGACACAGAUCAUAACCAAUAAUACAGUCCAAAGUACAUGAAGAACUGGAACAAAGAAGGUGGGGCAAAGGAAAUCAGGAACAGGAAUAGAGGAUGGAACAGCUCAAGGUAAGGAUCCAGGAAGAGCUGCAACACCUACAAAAAAAGGUGGAGUCAUUGAAAUACUGCACUGUUGACCGAGAAGAACACACAAGGAUUCUGCUUUU
rnacentral:lncRNA from 1 species